GUGACUGCGUACCUUUUGUAUAAUGGGUCAGCGACUUAUAUUCUGUAGCAAGGUUAACCGAAUAGGGGAGCCGAAGGGAAACCGAGUCUUAACUGGGCGUUAAGUUGCAGGGUAUAGACCCGAAACCCGGUGAUCUAGCCAUGGGCAGGUUGAAGGUUGGGUAACACUAACUGGAGGACCGAACCGACUAAUGUUGAAAAAUUAGCGGAUGACUUGUGGCUGGGGGUGAAAGGCCAAUCAAACCGGGAGAUAGCUGGUUCUCCCCGAAAGCUAUUUAGGUAGCGCCUCGUGAAUUCAUCUCCGGGGGUAGAGCACUGUUUCGGCAAGGGGGUCAUCCCGACUUACCAACCCGAUGCAAACUGCGAAUACCGGAGAAUGUUAUCACGGGAGACACACGGCGGGUGCUAACGUCCGUCGUGAAGAGGGAAACAACCCAGACCGCCAGCUAAGGUCCCAAAGUCAUGGUUAAGUGGGAAACGAUGUGGGAAGGCCCAGACAGCCAGGAUGUUGGCUUAGAAGCAGCCAUCAUUUAAAGAAAGCGUAAUAGCUCACUGGUCGAGUCGGCCUGCGCGGAAGAUGUAACGGGGCUAAACCAUGCACCGAAGCUGCGGCAGCGACGCUGAUGCGUUGUUGGGUAGGGGAGCGUUCUGUAAGCCUGUGAAGGUGUGCUGUGAGGCAUGCUGGAGGUAUCAGAAGUGCGAAUGCUGACAUAAGUAACGAUAAAGCGGGUGAAAAGCCCGCUCGCCGGAAGACCAAGGGUUCCUGUCCAACGUUAAUCGGGGCAGGGUGAGUCGACCCCUAAGGCGAGGCCGAAAGGCGUAGUCGAUGGGAAACAGGUUAAUAUUCCUGUACUUGGUGUUACUGCGAAGGGGGGACGGAGAAGGCUAUGUUGGCCGGGCGACGGUUGUCCCGGUUUAAGCGUGUAGGCUGGUUUUCCAGGCAAAUCCGGAAAAUCAAGGCUGAGGCGUGAUGACGAGGCACUACGGUGCUGAAGCAACAAAUGCCCUGCUUCCAGGAAAAGCCUCUAAGCAUCAGGUAACAUCAAAUCGUACCCCAAACCGACACAGGUGGUCAGGUAGAGAAUACCAAGGCGCUUGAGAGAACUCGGGUGAAGGAACUAGGCAAAAUGGUGCCGUAACUUCGGGAGAAGGCACGCUGAUAUGUAGGUGAAGUCCCUCGCGGAUGGAGCUGAAAUCAGUCGAAGAUACCAGCUGGCUGCAACUGUUUAUUAAAAACACAGCACUGUGCAAACACGAAAGUGGACGUAUACGGUGUGACGCCUGCCCGGUGCCGGAAGGUUAAUUGAUGGGGUCAGCGCAAGCGAAGCUCUUGAUCGAAGCCCCGGUAAACGGCGGCCGUAACUAUAACGGUCCUAAGGUAGCGAAAUUCCUUGUCGGGUAAGUUCCGACCUGCACGAAUGGCGUAAUGAUGGCCAGGCUGUCUCCACCCGAGACUCAGUGAAAUUGAACUCGCUGUGAAGAUGCAGUGUACCCGCGGCAAGACGGAAAGACCCCGUGAACCUUUACUAUAGCUUGACACUGAACAUUGAGCCUUGAUGUGUAGGAUAGGUGGGAGGCUUAGAAGUGUGGACGCCAGUCUGCAUGGAGCCGACCUUGAAAUACCACCCUUUAAUGUUUGAUGUUCUAACGUUGACCCGUAAUCCGGGUUGCGGACAGUGUCUGGUGGGUAGUUUGACUGGGGCGGUCUCCUCCUAAAGAGUAACGGAGGAGCACGAAGGUUGGCUAAUCCUGGUCGGACAUCAGGAGGUUAGUGCAAUGGCAUAAGCCAGCUUGACUGCGAGCGUGACGGCGCGAGCAGGUGCGAAAGCAGGUCAUAGUGAUCCGGUGGUUCUGAAUGGAAGGGCCAUCGCUCAACGGAUAAAAGGUACUCCGGGGAUAACAGGCUGAUACCGCCCAAGAGUUCAUAUCGACGGCGGUGUUUGGCACCUCGAUGUCGGCUCAUCACAUCCUGGGGCUGAAGUAGGUCCCAAGGGUAUGGCUGUUCGCCAUUUAAAGUGGUACGCGAGCUGGGUUUAGAACGUCGUGAGACAGUUCGGUCCCUAUCUGCCGUGGGCGCUGGAGAACUGAGGGGGGCUGCUCCUAGUACGAGAGGACCGGAGUGGACGCAUCACUGGUGUUCGGGUUGUCAUGCCAAUGGCACUGCCCGGUAGCUAAAUGCGGAAGAGAUAAGUGCUGAAAGCAUCUAAGCACGAAACUUGCCCCGAGAUGAGUUCUCCCUGACUCCUUGAGAGUCCUGAAGGAACGUUGAAGACGACGACGUUGAUAGGCCGGGUGUGUAAGCGCAGCGAUGCGUUGAGCUAACCGGUACUAAUGAACCGUGAGGCUUAACCUUACAACGCCGAAGCUGUU
rnacentral:rRNA from 1 species